GUUUUAAUAGUUUAAAUAAAACGUUGGUCUUGUAAACCAAAAACAAGGAAUCUCUUUUAAAGCU
rnacentral:tRNA from 1 species